CCAUGAAGAGUGAGGGCGCAUCUACCCCACCAUACAUGCCUUUGGUCAAAGUUGCAGAAGCCUGUGGUUGGGCGUGAACCCAGCACUUUGCAGAAGUGUGAAUUCUUAAUUUACCUCCCCCACAGCCACACACACAGGAGUGAAGGCAGCAGAGCCAAGCAGGAACCCGUCCUGCCCCAGGCCUGAGCUUUCUUAAGAGGCUCAUGGGGCAGAAAGGGUCAUUGUGCAUUUUUGUUGACUAUUGAUUCUCCCCUUCAUUCAACAACUGUACUGAGGCCAGAUCCCAAACUGAGCUCUGACGAGAUGGAGAAGCAAAGGACACGGUUCCUGCCCCCAAGGAGCUCCCAGACAAGCAGGAGAGAAGGUGGCUCCCAGACAAGCAGGAGAGAAGGCAGCUCCCAGACAAGCAGGAGAGAAGGCCGUGGAAAUGAUCCUUCUGAUACCACAGCCUGCCGAUGUCAUCUAGAACUCUGGGGGAUUGGGGGAAAACGAACAGAACCAGAUUAAAAAAAAAACCCUGUCCUUAGCUAGGUGUGGUGGUGGGCACCUGUUAUCCCAGCUACUUGGGCGGCUGAGGCAGGAGAAUCGCUUGAACCCAGGAGGUGGAGACUGCAGUGAGCCAAGACUGUGCCACUGCACUCCAGCCUGGGUGACAGAGCGAGACUCUGUCUCAAAACAAAAAAUGAAAAACAAAAAUGAAAAAGAAAAACAAAAACCAAACCCUGCCUUGUAAUUUUGACUUUUACUUUAUCCAAGUCAGGACUCCUGGUCUGAAGAAUAUUUGACCUCAUAACUAUUGGGGGACACUGGGGCUCCCUGCCCAGGGACAGGAUGUUCUCUGCAGAUAUCAGGACGUGGGUGCCGAUGACAAGGGCGCUUUGCCGCCAUGGCCCGGGGCUGGAAGCGCAGCUCUCAAAGGUUGGUUGUGAAGCUUCCAGGGGAGAUGGUCCUCUGCAGGAAGAAUAAGAGCCAUCCUGUAGCCUUCGCUGUUCCAGAAGGCUCCGUGGUGAAUACAUAAUUAGGUCCUCUGUAAUUACCAGUUUGAAUCUGCCUAGGACACUAAGGCUCCCACCCCCUAAUUUACCUUAUAAAUUUAUUCUGCUAAAAAA
rnacentral:lncRNA from 1 species